GACGAACGCUGGCGGCGUGCUUAACACAUGCAAGUCAAACGAUGAACCGGGUGCUUGCACUUGGGGAUUAGUGGCGAACGGGUGAGUAAUACGUAAGCAACCUGCCCACGAAGACCGGGAUAAUCCCUGGAAACGGGGACUAAGACCGGAUAGGUACACAGACCGCAUGAUCUGUGUAUUAAAGGUGAGAGACACUGGUGGAUGGGCUUACGGUGCAUUAGCUGGAUGGUGAGGUAACGGCCCACCAUGGCGAUGAUGCAUAGCCGGGCUGAGAGGCUGAACGGCCACAUUGGGACUGAGACACGGCCCAGACUCCUACGGGAGGCAGCAGUAGGGAAUUUUCGGCAAUGGGGGCAACCCUGACCGAGCAACGCCGCGUGAGUGAUGAAGGUCUUCGGAUUGUAAAGCUCUGUUGUAAGGGAAGAACGGCAUCUAGAGAAUAGAUGAGUGACGGUACCUUACCAGAAAGCUACGGCUAACUCUGUGCCAGCCGCCGCGGUAAAAC
rnacentral:rRNA from 1 species